AGGCCCUUUCGGGGUACUCGAGCGGCGAACGGGUGAGUAACACGUGAGUAACCUGCCCCUGACUCUGGGAUAAGCCUGGGAAACCGGGUCUAAUACCGGAUACGACCAUUUCUCGCAUGGGAUGGUGGUGGAAAGUUUUUUCGGUUGGGGAUGGGCUCGCGGCCUAUCAGCUUGUUGGUGGGGUGAUGGCCUACCAAGGCGACGACGGGUAGCCGGCCUGAGAGGGCGACCGGCCACACUGGGACUGAGACACGGCCCAGACUCCUACGGGAGGCAGCAGUGGGGAAUAUUGCGCAAUGGGCGGAAGCCUGACGCAGCGACGCCGCGUGGGGGAUGACGGCCUUCGGGUUGUAAACCUCUUUCAGCAGGGACGAAGUUGACGUGUACCUGUAGAAGAAGCGCCGGCUAACUACGUGCCAG
rnacentral:rRNA from 1 species